rnacentral:rRNA from 1 species
GUGGCCAGCAGCCGCGGUAAUACGGAGGGUGCAAACGUUGUUCGGACUUACUGGGCGUAAAGCGCGCGUAGGCGGUUUGUUAAGUCAGAUGUGAAAGCCCAAGGCUCAACCUUGGACGUGCAUUUGAAACUGGCAGACUUGAGUACUGGAGGGGAUGGUGGAAUUCCCGGUGUAGAGGUGAAAUUCGUAGAUAUCGGGAGGAAUACCGGUGGCGAAGGCGACCAUCUGGCCAGAUACUGACGCUGAGGUGCGAAAGCAUGGGGAGCAAACAGGAUUAGAUACCCCAGUAGUCC